rnacentral:rRNA from 1 species
UGGGGAAUAUUGGACAAUGGGCGAAAGCCUGAUCCAGCCAUGCCGCGUGUGUGAAGAAGGUCUUCGGAUUGUAAAGCACUUUAGGUUGGGAGGAAGGGCCAUUACCUAAUACGUGAUGGUCUUGACGUUACCGACAGAAUAAGCACCGGCUAACUCUGUGCCAGCAGCCGCGGUAAUACAGAGGGUGCAAGCGUUAAUCGGAAUUACUGGGCGUAAAGCGCGCGUAGGUGGUUCGUUAAGUUGGAUGUGAAAGCCCCGGGCUCAACCUGGGAACUGCAUUCAAAACUGUCGAGCUAGAGUAUGGUAGAGGGUGGUGGAAUUUCCUGUGUAGCGGUGAAAUGCGUAGAUAUAGGAAGGAACACCAGUGGCGAAGGCGACCACCUGGACUGAUACUGACACUGAGGUGCGAAAGCGUGGGGAGCAAACA